UACAGAGGGGGCAAGCGUUAUUCGGAAUUAUUGGGCGUAAAGGGCGCGUAGGCGGCCUGGCAAGUGGAAGGUGAAAUCCCUCGGCUUAACCGAGGAACUGCCCUCCAAACUGCUUGGCUUGAGACCGGGAGAGGUGAGUGGAAUUCCCAGUGUAGCGGUGAAAUGCGUAGAUAUUGGGAAGAACACCGGUGGCGAAGGCGGCGAGCUGGUCCAUUACUGACGCUGAGGCGCGACAGCGUGGGGAGCAAACAGG
rnacentral:rRNA from 1 species